rnacentral:rRNA from 1 species
AUUGAACGCUGGCGGCAUGCUUUACACAUGCAAGUCGGACGGCAGCACAGAGAAGCUUGCUUCUUGGGUGGCGAGUGGCGAACGGGUGAGUAAUAUAUCGGAACGUACCGAGUAAUGGGGGAUAACUAAUCGAAAGAUUAGCUAAUACCGCAUAUUCUCUGAGGAGGAAAGCCGGGGACCUUCGGGCCUUGCGUUAUUCGAGCGGCCGAUAUCUGAUUAGCUAGUUGGUGGGGUAAAGGCCUACCAAGUCGACGAUCAGUAGCGGGUCUGAGAGGAUGAUCCGCCACACUGGGACUGAGACACGGCCCAGACUCCUACGGGAGGCAGCAGUGGGGAAUUUUGGACAAUGGGCGCAAGCCUGAUCCAGCCAUGCCGCGUGUCUGAAGAAGGCCUUCGGGUUGUAAAGGACUUUUGUCAGGGAAGAAAAGGCUGUUGCUAAUAUCAAGAGCUGAUGACGGUACCUGAAGAAUAAGCACCGGCUAACUACGUG